UACGUAGGGUGCGAGCGUUAAUCGGAAUUACUGGGCGUAAAGCGUGCGCAGGCGGUUCGUUAAGUUCGUUGUGAAAGCCCCGGGCUCAACCUGGGAACUGCAAUGGAAACUGGCGGGCUUGAAUGCGGCAGAGGGGGGUGGGAAUUCCACGUGUAGCAGUGAAAUGCGUAGAGAUGUGGAGGAACACCGAUGGCGAAGGCAGCCCCCUGGGCUAACACUGACGCUCAGGCACGAAAGCGUGGGGAGCAAACAGG
rnacentral:rRNA from 1 species